GAUGAACGCUGGCUACAGGCUUAACACAUGCAAGUCGAGGGGAAACGACGGGGAAGCUUGCUUCCCCGGGCGUCGACCGGCGCACGGGUGAGUAACGCGUAUCCAACCUGCCUCUGACUGAGGGAUAACCCGUCGAAAGUCGGCCUAAUACCUCAAGGCAUCGUCUGCGGGCAUCCAACGACGAUUAAAGAUUUCAUCGGUCAGGGAUGGGGAUGCGUCUGAUUAUCUUGUUGGCGGGGUAACGGCCCACCAAGGCUACGAUCACUAGGGGUUCUGAGAGGAAGGUCCCCCGCAUUGAAACUGACACACGGUCCAAACUCCUACCGGAGGCUCCAUUGAGGAAUAUUGGUCAAUGGGCGAAAGCCUGAACCAUCCUAGUAGCGUGCAGGAAGACGGCCCUAUGGUUUGUAAACUGCUUUUAAGCCGGGAUAGAGUGAGGGACGUGUACUUCGUUGCAGGUACCGCAUGAAUAGUGACCGGCUACUUCCGUGCCAGCAGCCGCGGUAAUACGGAAGGUCCGGGCGUUAUCUCACAUUUAUUGGGUUUAAAGGGAGCGUCCGCCGUGGAUUAAUGCGUGUUGUGAAAUUCAGGUGCUAUCGUCUGCAUCUACUGUUAAACUGGUAUCACUAAAGUGUUUCGCAUAGUUAUCCCAAUUCUACCAUGUAGGUGUCAUAUGCUUUAUAUGACGUUAACAACUCAUUGCGGAGGCAGCUUGCGUCCUUCAACUGAUACUUGCAUGUAUAAGUGACGGUAUCGAACAUGAUUAUGACCCUGAUCAAACUCUGCGAAUUCAACCUGGAUGUAUAUCUUAUCGAUCGAUACGACCUCCUCGAGAGGCCGCCCCGCAGCCUUUUUUCGCUUUCUUAGGGUGGAUUAAUUA
rnacentral:rRNA from 1 species